GUAGGUAAGAGCUCACCAGCGAUGACGGUACGGUUGAAGGAGAUCCGCCACACUGGUACUGAGACACGGACCAGACUCUACGGAGGCAGCAGUGAGGAUAUGCACAAUGGGGGAAACCCUGAUGCAGCACGCCGCGUGGAGGAUGACGCAUUUCGGUGUGUACUCCUUUUAUAGUCAAGAAAAUGACGGUAGCAUAUGAUAAGCACCGGCUAACUCCGUGCCAGCAGCCGCGGUAAUACGAGGGUGCAAGCGUUAUUCGGAAUCACUGGGCGUAAAGGACGCGUAGGCGGGUUUGUAAGUCAGGUGUGAAAUCCUACAGCUUAACUGUAGAACUGCACUUGAAACUACAARCCUAGAGUAUGGGAGGGGCAGAUGGAAUUAGUGGUGUAGGGGUAAAAUCCGUAGAUAUCACUAGGAAUACCGAAAGCGAAGGCGAUCUGCUGGAACAUAACUGACGCUAAGGCGUGAAAGCGUGGGGAGCAAACAGGAUUAGAUACCCUGGUAGUCCACGCCCUAAACGAUGAACACUAGUCGUCGGGAUGCUAGUCAUCUCGGUGAUGCACUUAACAGAUUAAGUGUUCCGCCUGGGGAGUACGGUCGCAAGAUUAAAACUCAAAGGAAUAGACGGGGACCCGCACAAGUGGUGGAGCAUGUGGUUUAAUUCGAAGAUACGCGAAGAACCUUACCUAGCCUUGACAUUGAUGGAACCUGCCAGAGAUGGCGGGGUGCCCUUCGGGGAACCUGAAAACAGGUGCUGCACGGCUGUCGUCAGCUCGUGUCGUGAGAUGUUGGGUUAAGUCCCGCAACGAGCGCAACCCUCGUCCUUAGUUGCUAGCAGUUCGGCUGAGCACUCUAAGGAGACUGCCUUCGCAAGGAGGAGGAAGGUGAGGACGACGUCAAGUCAUCAUGGCCCUUAUGGCUAGGGCUACACACGUGCUACAAUGGGGCGUACAGAGUGUUGCGAUACCGCGAGGUGGAGCUAAUCACUUAAAGCGUCUCUCAGUUCGGAUUGGAGUCUGCAACUCGACUCCAUGAAGCUGGAAUCACUAGUAAUCGUAGAUCAGCAAUGCUACGGUGAAUACGUUCCCGGGUCUUGUACUCACCGCCCGUCACACCAUGGGAGUUGAUUUCACCCGAAAUCGGGAAGCCAACCUUCGGGGGGCUACCGCUACG
rnacentral:rRNA from 1 species